GACGAACGCUGGCGGCGUGCCUAAUACAUGCAAGUAGAACGCUGAAGAGAGGAGCUUGCUCUUCUUGGAUGAGUUGCGAACGGGUGAGUAACGCGUAGGUAACCUGCCUUGUAGCGGGGGAUAACUAUUGGAAACGAUAGCUAAUACCGCAUAACAAUGGAUGACACAUGUCAUUUAUUUGAAAGGGGCAAUUGCUCCACUACAAGAUGGACCUACGUUGUAUUAGCUAGUAGGUGAGGUAACGGCUCACCUAGGCGACGAUACAUAGCCGACCUGAGAGGGUGAUCGGCCACACUGGGACGGAGACACGGCCCAGACUCCUACGGGAGGCAGCAGUAGGGAAUCUUCGGCAAUGGGGGCAACCCUGACCGAGCAACGCCGCGUGAGUGAAGAAGGUUUUCGGAUCGUAAAGCUCUGUUGUAAGUCAAGAACGAGUGUGAGAGUGGAAAGUUCACACUGUGACGGUAGCUUACCAGAAAGGGACGGCUAACUACGUG
rnacentral:rRNA from 1 species